UAAAGGCAUAAGGGAGCUUGACUGCGAGACCUACAAGUCGAGCAGGGUCGAAAGACGGACUUAGUGAUCCGGUGGUUCCGCAUGGAAGGGCCAUCGCUCAACGGAUAAAAGCUACCCCGGGGAUAACAGGCUUAUCUCCCCCAAGAGUUCACAUCGACGGGGAGGUUUGGUACCUCGAUGUCGGCUCAUCGCAUCCUGGGGCUGUAGUCGGUCCCAAGGGUUGGGCUGUUCGCCCAUUAAAGCGGUACGCGAGCUGGGUUCAGAACGUCGUGAGACAGUUCGGUCCCUAUCCGUCGUGGGCGUAGGAAAUUUGAGAGGAGCUGUCCUUAGUACGAGAGGAC
rnacentral:rRNA from 1 species